rnacentral:rRNA from 1 species
CAGUCGCCACGGGAAUACGAAGGGGGCUAGCGUUGUUCGGAUUAACUGGGCGUAAAGGGCGCGUAGGCGGGUUUUUAAGUCAGAGGUGAAAUCCCAAGGCUCAACCUUGGAACUGCCUUUGAUACUGGAAGUCUUGAGUCCGGGAGAGGUGAGUGGAACUGCGAGUGUAGGGGUGAAAUUCGUAGAUAUUCGCAAGAACACCAGUGGCGAAGGCGGCUCACUGGCCCGGUACUGACGCUGAGGCGCGAAAGCGUGGGGAGCAAACAGGAUUAGAUACCCCUGUAGUCCCUGUCUCUUAUAC